UUAAGCCUGACCAUUACUUUAUGCCUCCUUUCUGUUUGGUCCUAGUACAGAUCUUCUUUGUAUUUGGCCCCAAACGAGCCUAUGUGUAGACUAGCUUGCUUUGCAAUGCAUAUCUUAUUGAGUAUAUUAAACUCCAGGAACACCAGCAUUUAUAUUCCUGUGCUUCCAAAAUAAGGACAAGCUCUCCAUUUUCUGAUAUUGUGCUUCUGAUCUUCCAUCACGCAUUUUUUAUUGCGAGAAAAUGAAAACUAGGAGAGGAAAGCGCUCUGAGCAAUUUUGGCCUUCCAUUGUGAUGAAGAAAUGGCUAAAUCUCAAACCCAAGCUGAAUGAUUUUAGUGACGAUGAAGUUGACACUGAAACUGAGAGUGAGGAUGAUGCUUGCUCUAUUAAAGAGGCCAGAGUGCAUGCGGUUGAGGAUCAUACCCACAGAAUACAAGGGAACCAAUCUGCAUGCGUAACUCAAACGUCAGGAGCACCUUCAAAGGGCUAUACCUCACGACACAGGAGAGGAAAAUCAGAAACUUUGCGUCUUCAGUAUAUUAAUACAAAGGAUGUGAGGGUGACAAUAGGCACUUGGAAUGUUGCUGGAAGACUUCCAUAUGACGAUCUUGAGAUUGAUGAUUGGCUUUGUAUGAAAAAACCAGCAGAUAUUUACAUUCUUGGUUUCCAGGAGGUAGUCCCUUUAAAUGCUGGGAAUGUACUUGGAGCAGAGACUAGAAUGCCAAUUCCAAAAUGGGAAGCAAUUAUCCGUAGAACAUUGAACGGAUCUCUGGAACCCAAAACCGAACACAAAAGUUAUACUGCCCCACCUUCUCCCGUAUUAAGGACUUGUUCUUCUGCUGAUAUACUUGUAGAUGAGAUUGACGAUACUGCAUUCGCGAUAUUGGGUGAAGGGACUAUAGGCACCACUAAUGCUAGUUACUCUGACACAUGUAAACUGAAUGGAAUCGUUGGUAUGGGGAAGAAACUCCAGUUGAAGAGAAUAUAUGGCAUUGAUAUUGACAGUAGAUUGGACUGGCCUGAGCAAUCCUUGGAUACAACACCUCAAGUUCUCUCUUCUGGUUUAAAAUUACGUAGAGUAUUGAGCAGUUCUGCAAGAGUUGGCUCUGAUUGGAUGGAGAAUCCUCUUAUUUUCAGUCCUCGAAAUAUUGCAUGCAAUGGUGUUGAAUUGAAAAGAUCGUAUCGUAGCUCUGGAAACCUUGGAUUGCUUUGGAUGAAUCAAGAAGAGAGACCUACAACUCUUGAUUCACUCACUGAUGUCUCUGACCAACUUUCUGAAGAGGAAAAGGAUUCUUUUCUAGAAAUAUCUGAUGUGCAACAUGAAAAUGAACUUUGGAAAGAUGAAGUGAAGUCAUGUCGUAAGUAUGUCCGAAUCGUCAGCAAGCAGAUGGUAGGGAUAUAUGUGUCAGUUUGGGUGCGCAAAAGUUUGAGGAGUCAUGUAAAUAAUUUGAAAGUCUCUCCUGUUGGAGUUGGGCUUAUGGGCUACAUGGGUAACAAGGGCUCUAUUUCUGUUAGCAUGUCUCUUUUUCAAACACGGCUUUGCUUUGUCUGUUCUCAUUUGACCUCUGGUCAAAAGGAUGGAGAUGAGCAGAGGCGUAACUCAGAUGUGCACGAAAUCUUAAAACGUACUCGUUUCUCACCUGUUCUGAAUACUGAUCAACCACAGACAAUUCUAUCUCACGACCAGAAAUUUUGGUUUGGGGAUUUGAAUUAUCGUCUCAAUAUGUUGGACGCAGAAGUAAGAAAUCUUGUGGCCACGAAACAAUGGGAUGAACUUCUGAAAAGUGACCAGCUGAGCAAAGAACUUUGCAACGGGCAUGUGUUCGAUGGAUGGAAGGAGGGGGCAAUAACCUUCCCACCCACUUACAAAUAUGAAAUCAACUCAGAUAGAUUUGUUGGUGAAAACCCGAAAGAAGGGGAGAAGAAGAGAUCCCCUGCAUGGUGUGAUCGUAUACUAUGGCUUGGGAAAGGCAUAAAACAGCUUUCUUACAGCCGAGCAGAUAUAAGGCUCUCAGAUCAUCGACCUGUUAAUUCAAAUUUCUUGGUUGAAGUUGAGGUUUUUAGCCACCGAAAGCUGCAAAGGGCUCUCAAUUUCACUACUGCAGCAAUCCAUCCCAAGAUUUUCCUUGAUGAAGAUGAAGAUGAAGAUGAAGAUGACCUUUAGCAGAUGGCAGGUAUCUAGCAAGCAUAACACAUGGAGAGAGUUGUCAUUCUUGGUUUCAAUGCUUGGAAAAUCCAACACAACUGUACGAAAAAAUACAUGGGGGAGAUUUUAGCUUAUGGGGCAAGUGGAUUUCAUUUUCAUCCUGGAUUUCAGCCCUCAAAAACAGACUUGCAAAUGAGUAUACAAGUUCACACAUUUUCAAGAAUCAGUCGGGAAAACACAUAUAUCAGAGAAAGAGCAAUUACCAGAAGACAUGAUUUCUGAAAAGUUCACAAGUUCAAAUGGAAUUUUAUUAAAUCCAUGGUUUCAAUGGUGAGUGAUUGAACUAAACUUGGGUCUGUACACAAUGGAAUUCAUUUAUCUUUUUCUUUGUUUCUUUCUUUCAUCCUUCUAUUUUGAUGGGGGGUUUCUUGUAACUGACUAAUUCUGACGACACUUUUGUUUUGUAUUUCUUCCCAUUUCAUCAGUAAUAAGUUGGUUGGUUAUCAAUA